AGGGCGAAACCUCGAUUUCCGUAAGGGAUCCCAUCAGAAAAAUAUCAAUAAAAUCUAAAAAAAAAUAUUUCGUUCUCAGAUUUUGAUGCAGAUCGAUGGGGAAUCGAUCUGCAAACGUUUUAAAACAUUCCGCUCAAGAAUCGGAUGAGAAUUGGAAAAGAUAUAGACAUCGUUCUGGCCCUUAUAGGGCGAAAACAGGAUUUCUCGAUUUCCGUAAGGAAAAUAUCAAAAAAAUCUAAAAAAUAUUUCGUUCUCAGAUUUUGAUGCAGAUCGAUGGGGAAUCGAUCUACAAACGUUUUAAAACAUUCCGUUCAAGAAUCGGAUGAGAAUUGGAAAAGAUAUAGACAUCGUUCUGGCCCUUAUAGGGCGAAACCUCGUUUUCUCGAUUUCCGUAAGGGGUCCCAUCAGAAAAAUAUCAAAAAAAUCCAAAAAAUAUUUCGCACUCUGAUUUUGAUGCAGAUCGAUGGGGAAUCGAUCUACAAACGUUUUAAAACAUUCCGUUCAAGAAUCGGAUGAGAAUUGGAAAAGAUAUAGACAUCGUUCUGGCCCUUAUAGGGCGAAAACAGGAUUUCUCGAUUUCCGUAAGGGGUCCCAUCAGGAAAAUAUCAAAAAAAUCUAAAAAAUAUUUCGUUCUCAGAUUUUGAUGCAGAUCGAUGGGGAAUCGAUCUACAAACGUUUUAAAACAUUCCGCUCAAGAAUCGGAUGAGAAUUGGAAAAGAUAUAGACAUCGUUUUGGCCCUUAUAGGGCGAAAACAGGAUUUCUCGAUUUUCGUAAGGGGUCCCAUCAGGAAAAUAUCAAAAAAAUCUAAAAAAUAUUUCGCUCUCUGAUUUUGAUGCAGAUCGAUGGGGAAUCGAUCUACAAACGUUUUAAAACAUUCCGCUCAAGAAUCGGAUGAGAAUUGGAAAAGAUAUAGACAUCGUUCUGGCCCUUAUAGGGCGAAAACAGGAUUUCUCGAUUUCCGUAAGGGGUCCCAUCAGGAAAAUAUCAAAAAAAUCUAAAAAAUAUUUCGUUCUCAGAUUUUGAUGCAGAUCGAUGGGGAAUCGAUCUACAAACGUUUUAAAACAUUCCGUUCAAGAAUCGGAUGAGAAUUGGAAAAGAUAUAGACAUCGUUCUGGCCCUUAUAGGGCGAAAACAGGAUUUCUCGAUUUCCGUAAGGGGUCCCAUCAGGAAAAUAUCAAAAAAAUCUAAAAAAUAUUUCGUUCUCAGAUUUUGAUGCAGAUCGAUGGGGAAUCGAUCUACAAACGUUUUAAAACAUUCCGCUCAAGAAUCGGAUGAGAAUUGGAAAAGAUAUAGACAUCGUUUUGGCCCUUAUAGGGCGAAAACAGGAUUUCUCGAUUUUCGUAAGGGGUCCCAUCAGGAAAAUAUCAAAAAAAUCUAAAAAAUAUUUCGCUCUCUGAUUUUGAUGCAGAUCGAUGGGGAAUCGAUCUACAAACGUUUUAAAACAUUCCGCUCAAGAAUCGGAUGAGAAUUGGAAAAGAUAUAGACAUCGUUCUGGCCCUUAUAGGGCGAAACCUCGUUUUCUCGAUUUCCGUAAGGGGUCCCAUCAGAAAAAUAUCAAAAAAAUCUAAAAAAUAUUUCGCACUCUGAUUUUGAUGCAGAUCGAUGGGGAAUCGAUCUACAAACGUUUUAAAACAUUCCGUUCAAGAAUCGGAUGAGAAUUGGAAAAGAUAUAGACAUCGUUCUGGCCCUUAUAGGGCGAAAACAGGAUUUCUCGAUUUCCGUAAGGGGUCCCAUCAGGAAAAUAUCAAAAAAAUCUAAAAAAUAUUUCGUUCUCAGAUUUUGAUGCAGAUCGAUGGGGAAUCGAUCUACAAACGUUUUAAAACAUUCCGCUCAAGAAUCGGAUGAGAAUUGGAAAAGAUAUAGACAUCGUUUUGGCCCUUAUAGGGCGAAAACAGGAUUUCUCGAUUUUCGUAAGGGGUCCCAUCAGGAAAAUAUCAAAAAAAUCUAAAAAAUAUUUCGCUCUCUGAUUUUGAUGCAGAUCGAUGGGGAAUCGAUCUACAAACGUUUUAAAACAUUCCGCUCAAGAAUCGGAUGAGAAUUGGAAAAGAUAUAGACAUCGUUCUGGCCCUUAUAGGGCGAAAACAGGAUUUCUCGAUUUCCGUAAGGGGUCCCAUCAGGAAAAUAUCAAAAAAAUCUAAAAAAUAUUUCGUUCUCAGAUUUUGAUGCAGAUCGAUGGGGAAUCGAUCUACAAACGUUUUAAAACAUUCCGUUCAAGAAUCGGAUGAGAAUUGGAAAAGAUAUAGACAUCGUUCUGGCCCUUAUAGGGCGAAAACAGGAUUUCUCGAUUUCCGUAAGGGGUCCCAUCAGGAAAAUAUCAAAAAAAUCUAAAAAAUAUUUCGUUCUCAGAUUUUGAUGCAGAUCGAUGGGGAAUCGAUCUACAAACGUUUUAAAACAUUCCGCUCAAGAAUCGGAUGAGAAUUGGAAAAGAUAUAGACAUCGUUUUGGCCCUUAUAGGGCGAAAACAGGAUUUCUCGAUUUUCGUAAGGGGUCCCAUCAGGAAAAUAUCAAAAAAAUCUAAAAAAUAUUUCGCUCUCUGAUUUUGAUGCAGAUCGAUGGGGAAUCGAUCUACAAACGUUUUAAAACAUUCCGCUCAAGAAUCGGAUGAGAAUUGGAAAAGAUAUAGACAUCGUUUUGGCCCUUAUAGGGCGAAAACAGGAUUUCUCGAUUUUCGUAAGGGGUCCCAUCAGGAAAAUAUCAAAAAAAUCUAAAAAAUAUUUCGCUCUCUGAUUUUGAUGCAGAUCGAUGGGGAAUCGAUCUACAAACGUUUUAAAACAUUCCGCUCAAGAAUCGGAUGAGAAUUGGAAAAGAUAUAGACAUCGUUCUGGCCCUUAUAGGGCGAAACCUCGUUUUCUCGAUUUCCGUAAGGGGUCCCAUCAGAAAAAUAUCAAAAAAAUCUAAAAAAUAUUUCGUUCUCAGAUUUUGAUGCAGAUCGAUGGGGAAUCGAUCUACAAACGUUUUAAAACAUUCCGUUCAAGAAUCGGAUGAGAAUUGGAAAAGAUAUAGACAUCGUUCUGGCCCUUAUAGGGCGAAAACAGGAUUUCUCGAUUUCCGUAAGGGGUCCCAUCAGGAAAAUAUCAAAAAAAUCUAAAAAAUAUUUCGUUCUCAGAUUUUGAUGCAGAUCGAUGGGGAAUCGAUCUACAAAUCUUUUAAGACACUUCGCUUAAGAAUCGGAUGAGAAUUGGAAAAGAUAUAGACAUCGUUCUGGCCCAUAUAGGGCGAAAACAGGAUUUCUCGAUUUUUCGAUCGAAAAUAUCAAAAAAAUCUAAAAAAUAUUUCGAUUCCAAAUUUUGAUGCAGAUCGAUGGGGAAUAGAUCUUCAAGUGUUUUGGUAUAUUCCGUUGAAGGAUUGGAAGAAUAUAAUCCAAGAUAUACCCAGCCGCUUUAAGAAUAAAAAUGUGUGUAAAUUAAUCAUACGCCACGUUGUACCGUAACUGAAUAUAAUGUCUAAAUAGGCUCCUGUUUUUAAAACUUAACAAAUUAAUUAAAACAAGAAAAAGUAUAGUUUUAAAAUUAAUAAUCGAAGAAGUUUUAAUAUUCCAUAUCUAGAAUCUGCGCAUUGCUCAUACGCCCCGUUAAUUCAUAAUGCAUUUCAUUCAGCGCUUGAAAUUGGCUUCCUAAGGCUCGCACUACAUAAUUAAUGAGGAAAGCACCUAUACUAGACUCUCGAAGGCACUUUUAGCUCGUUGUUAUUCAGUUUAUUAAUACCCUGGCCAUUAAAAUAAAGCGCCUUACAGGAGGUGGGUCGGAAAUCAAAGUGAAGCCCCCCAUUAUGGGAGUGUAAAGUGAGGCUGAGGCCUGGGUGUUUGCUUUGAAAAUGUGAAAAAUAGUUAAGGCAAACAGGGUUUUAUGGGCCAAUAUACAAAACGGUAGCCAAGUACCUACUAUUUGUACCCUGUUAUUGUAUGGACAUUGUUCAGUUCUAUAUAUUUUCUCUGUUUUUCGUGUAUAUAUAUUUGUUUUUUUUUUUGCAAAUGCUAUAUUUGACUUGACGUUGUUGCAUUGGUGGCCUGGCCCUGCCCGGUGGGUAAAUUGCAUGAAUUAGGUGCCUUUAUUUAUCGUAUUUAUAUAACUGAACUGAGUGAAAAAUGUAAAUAAAUGAGAAAAGAAAACAAAAUACACAGAGAUAGAAAAAUAAAAAAAAAAUAAAUAAAAUAGGAAUAGGAAUACGAGUACUGCUCGGACGAAUACUCGUACGAAUAGAACAAGAAAAUAAUGUUACGAAAUGCAAAUAAACAGAAUGUCAGUGCAGCGUUUAGUGAGCAUUAAACGUCGUACACGAACGUUAUCCGAAAGUUAUAGUUGCAGUUAGAUACAAAUACAGAUACAGAUACAUUUACGGAUACCCCGAAAGCGCUUUAUCUAUUUACUCUUCUCAUUGCAAUUCAUGGUGGACACACGUCACAUUUUUUGAUCUUGUUACAAGUGCAAAAAAGAAAGAUCAAUAUUUGCCCUUAAACCGAGUAAAGUGUACGUCAAAUACGACGUUAGUUGUGAGAUAAAAAUUACGAAAAGGGUUCUACUUGCCAUUAACUCGAAAAUGUUUCAAAUUGUGCAAUCUGUGUAAAUAUUUUUAUACAUUUUCCCCAAAAACUUUCUCGAUUAUUUGAUGAAAUGUGAUUUAAAUGAAAAGAAUCUGUCCGUCAAGUUGGUACUUCUCAGUAUUGGUGACAAGUGAAUAAAUUAUAAUAUAUAUUAUUAAUAAAGAGUUGUAGGUAUUUCUGGCUAAAACAAUACAUUUUCUUGGGAAUCGCCCCUGUCGAGGGCAUUCAGCCCCUUGAAUGGGUUCAUUUCCUGCUCUUCUCUGACGUUGCAAUUUUUAAUUUGUCGCAUGUCGUGCCAGCUCGUCUCUUCCCCCACCUCCUCUUGCCUAUUUUACCUAUAAAAAAUAAACAACAAAAAAUGAGUAGAGAAUAAAAAAAUUCAUCCCACCAACCACCACCACCCACUCUCAUUUGAUUAAAUAAAGAAACAGCAUUUAAUCAAAAUGAGAAGAGCAAACACGCAGAGUGCAAACAGCGAGUGCCGUUCGCAUUUCGCUUAUUAAG